UUCAAGUCGGUGAAGAAAGGGAGCAAAAAAAAUUCUUCUACCCGUACGUAAUUCCCUUCUUUUUCACUAUCCCGGGUUCUGGCCGAAUCUCCGUGCCACUUUACCGGCGAUGUUUCCGGCCACUCUCCCGGCUCUGACCUGACUGCCUUUUAACCUUUCAGUCGCACUCUCUGUGGAAUGCUUCUGGGAAAUUCUUGAUUCCAGAGCUUUUUAUAAUCCGAUUUUAAACAUCCAGUUGAAUUUUUGGCUCUUUGAGACCUCGAUCAGUGAGCUCCCCCACAGAACUCAGCAACGUUUAAUUAAAACUUUCCGUCUGCAUUGCUUAUUCCUUCUUUCUGUGUCGAUUGGAUGAAUGGCUUCUUUCUCUCUUUGAAUAUUCUCCUUCUCUCUCCCGCCCUUUCUCGCUUCUUCUCUCUGUGUGUUCAUAUCUAUGGUCAUUGGCUUCUUCCUUCUUGAAACUUGGGAUCUUACCUUUCAAAUUCCCCCCCCCCCUCUCUCUCUCUCUCUCUCUCAUUCUCAAGGUUGAAGCCUGCAACUAGAAACUUUAAGUGUUUUAAUGAAGGAAGUUCAAAGAAGAACAGCCCGUAAUAAAAUGGAAAAACCUUUCCCUGGAUGCUUGGGAAGAAUGGUAAACCUGUUUGACUUGAGUGCAGGCGUUAGUAGGAACAAGCUUCUGACGGAUAAGCCGCAUCGCGACGGUUCUGUACUCCCAAGAAGUCACUCAGAUGCAGCAAUUAUGUCGAGUUCUUCACUUGACAGUCACAUAGAGGGUGGACUGGGUCACUCAAUUGGGAAGGCAAAUCAAACGCCCAUGAAGAUGCUCAUAGACCAGGAAAUGUCAAAAGAGGCUGAAUCUAAGAUUUCUCCCCCAAAUGUUGUUGCAAAGUUGAUGGGGCUAGAUACUUUGCCAGAGCAGCCUGGUUCAGCUGCUUAUAAAACACCUUCAAGAGGUUCCACAUGUAUAGUUAAAGAAUCUAGGUUGCCACUAGAACGUAUAGAACAAGUUGAUGACUGUUUGGAGAAGGGCGCCCUAUGUGAAAUUCAUCAAAGCUCCGUAGACGUUUAUGAAAUAUGGCAGCAAAGUUUGAAAACAAAUUAUGAUAGAAAAAAGUUGCAUUAUGGAAAGUUUGACAAAAAUAUUGAUGAAAAAAAAAUUACCCUUGUUCGUAAAAAAUUCACUGAAGCAAAACGUAUGGCUACAGAUGAGAAAUUUAGGCAAUCUAAAGAAUUCCAAGAUGCCUUAGAAGUUCUCAGCUCCAAUAAGGAAUCGUUUGUCAAAUUAUUGCAAGAACCAAAUUCCUUGUUUUCUCAGCAUAGUUUUCAACUUUGUUCACUUCCUACAUCUCCUGAGAAGACGUGCAUCACUAUCCUUAGGCCCUCAAAUUUAGUUAGCACUGAAAAAAAAUUUGGGACGGGGAAAAGAUGUGAGAAUCAGAUGAGAAAACCGACUCAGGUCUACCAUUCCAUUGCUCGUGACAAGUCCAGUAAUGUGCCUACUUUUUCAAACCAGAGAGUUGAUGAAUAUGUUCAACCCACACGAAUAGUGGUAUUGAAGCCUAACAUUGGUAAGAAUCAUGGUGUUAAAACUGUGGGAACUCAACAAGCUAGUUCAUCACCUGAUAAAACCUCUGGAAAUUUGGAUGAGGAAGCUGAGGGUGUCGAGGUGCCAGAAUUAGGGGAAGCUGCAACGGAGAUUUCUGAACAGUUGAGUGAAGGUCAAAUGGGACAUCAAAGGGAUGAAACUUUUAUUUCUUCUGUCUUUUCUAAUGGUUAUACUGGUGAUGAGAGUUCAUUUUACAAGUCAGAGAAUGAAUAUACAGGGAGGGAUCUCAGUGACUUAGAAUUAAUGUCACCGUCUUCCAGGCAUUCUUGGGAUUAUGUUAACAAAUUUGAUAGCCCUUAUUCUAUUUCUUCCUUCAGCCGUGUUUCAUGUUCUCCAGAGUCAUUGGUUUGCCGUGAAGCCAAGAAGCGUCUCUCUGAAAGAUGGUCAACGAUCACAUCAAAUGCCAAUUCUCACGAACCGAGGCAUGUAAGGAGAAGCUCUAGUACAUUGGGUGAGAUGCUCUGUUUGUCAGAUCCAAAAAAGUCCAUCGAAUCUAUUGAUCAGAUAACCAAUGAGGAAGAAAAGUGGAGGGAGUUCGCAUCCUGCUUAAGUACUGACUUCAGUAAGGAAGAGAUUGAAAACUCUCCUAGAAGUCUCCAGAGGUCAAAGUCUGCACCAGUAUCUCCUUUGAUGUCACGUGGCAGACUAGGUUUUGAAGCUCCAAAGUCUGCUACGACAGAUGUUAUCCCAGAGAAAACUUGUCCGACAAAGGUUAAAUCAUCAUUUAAAGGAAAAAUUUCUAGUUUAUUCUUCUCCAGGAAUAAGAAACUGAACAAAGAAAAACAAAAUGCAUUAUGUAAAGAGGAAUUGGAUACUUCUGUUGUGGGAACGCUUGGAGCCUCUCCACCUCCUGGCAGGGUUGGUGAUAAUGCAUCUUGUGUCAACAAUACUCAACUUGAAGAAUGCUCAUUCUCUGCUCUGUGUAGAUCAUCAGAGACGUCUCCGGAUUUAACCAACACAUUGGGCGUGGUCUCUCUUGAGGCUGGGUUGCCUUUUGCAAGAAAUUUGAUGCCAGGAAAUGCCAGUGAGAACCUGGACAAUCCGUGUCCAUGCUCUGUUUUUGAACCACUAUUUGAUGAGGAUGACUUCGAGAUGUGCUCGUCUUCUGGCCAUAUGAAGCCAGACAUCAGAGGAAUUCAAGUGCCUACGAAGUCCAACAUAAUUGACAAAUCGCUUCCCAUAGAGUCCAUUUUUCGGACUACGACAUGGGAAAAUAAAUAUUCAGAAAACACAGAUCCAUAUUUGGUUAAACCCUCAUUAGCAUGUGAAGAUACAGAAAACGAGGAACAAAAGUGGCUCGGCCUUGUCAAAACUCUGCUCUCAGCCAAUGGCCUCGAUGACAGUGUGCAGUGCAACUCAUUUUUCUCAAGAUGGCAUUCUCUCGAUUAUCCAUUGGAUCCUUCACUAAGAGACAAGUUUGCCAACCUAAGUGCUAAAGAGCCAGAACAGGAGGCGAAACAAAGGCAAUCCAGUUCAAACUGGAAACUCAUAUUUGACAGCGUCAAUGCCAUCCUGGUCGAUAUCGCAGGAUUUCGGUCAGAUAGGAGCACAAUGGCAAUGUCUUACAACUGGGUAAAUGCUGAUGCUCCCUCACAAGCUUUGGUGGACAGUGUGUGGGACAGAUUGAAGGAUUGGCUAUCGUACGAAACACAAUGUGUUGGUUUUGAGAUUGGGGACAUUAACAGCCUGGUGGUAGAGAGGGUGGUUCGGAAGGAGGUUGUGGGGAAGAGCUGGAUUCAGCAAUUACAAGAGGAAAUGGAUGAUUUAGGGAAGGAAAUAGAAGGGAAAUUGCUGGAAGAACUUGUGGAAGAGGCGCUGCUUAAUUUGACAGAAGAAAAUGAGGAAGAACGGAAAUAUUGCUGCUACAUUGAAACCAGUCACCUGUACCAUGUCCAGCAGAGGACAAAUUGAGAUGUUGCUGCUACUCUGGAACCAAUCACAAAGAGCAAGCAUGACUACCUCUGGAUAAAUCAGGGCAAGGAAGAAAGGCUGCUGCUACCCAUCAAUGUCCAUACUAAAAGUUCAUCUUUAUCUUCUGGUCAUGAAAAGAAAAAGGUGAUAAAUGGCUCCCAACCUGCAACUAGUGUAGAUGUAUUCUAAAGUAGCAUGAACUAGGAAGAGUCUUGACGUGGAGGGAGACAUACGAGUAUGCGAAGGGAAGAGAGUUGAGACGGAGAUGAAUCCAAACCCGGAAUGAAAACCGACUCGAAGUAGGGAAAAGUGCAAAGUAGCUCAGUGAUUUUAAAGAUGGAUGAAUAUAUAAUUGAGUCAACUAAACUGUUUUCUUGUUUUAAACUUUAUGAAUCAAAUCGUCUAGCAACUAUGAGUUAAGGUUAAACGAACUAAUUUUAUCAGUCCAUUAUUUUCAAUUUGCAAA